AUUGAACGCUGGCGGCAGGCUUAACACAUGCAAGUCGAACGAGGGGCGGACGGGUGAGUAAUGCUUGGGAAUCUAGCUUAUGGAGGGGGAUAACUACGGGAAACUGUAGCUAAUACCGCGUACCAUAGGAUGAGCCCAAGGGGGAUUAGGUAGUUGGUGAGGUAAAGGCUCACCAAGCCGACGAUUGCUAGCUGGUGUGAGAGGAUGACCAGCGACACCGGGACUGAGACACGGCCCAGACUCCUCAGAGAGGCAGCAGUGGGGAAUAUUGCGCAAUGGGGGCAACCUGACGAAGCCAUGCCGCGUGAAUGAAGAAGGCCUUCGGGUUGUAAAGUUCUUUCGGUAGCGAGGCGUUAACUACAGAAGAAGCACCGGCUAACUCCGUGCCAGCCGCCGCGGUAAUUC
rnacentral:rRNA from 1 species